AGUCGAACGAACUCUGGUAUUGAUUGGUGCUUGCAUCAUGAUUUACAUUUGAGUGAGUGGCGAACUGGUGAGUAACACGUGGGAAACCUGCCCAGAAGCGGGGGAUAACACCUGGAAACAGAUGCUAAUACCGCAUAACAACUUGGACCGCAUGGUCCGAGUUUGAAAGAUGGCUUCGGCUAUCACUUUUGGAUGGUCCCGCGGCGUAUUAGCUAGAUGGUGAGGUAACGGCUCACCAUGGCAAUGAUACGUAGCCGACCUGAGAGGGUAAUCGGCCACAUUGGGACUGAGACACGGCCCAAACUCCUACGGGAGGCAGCAGUAGGGAAUCUUCCACAAUGGACGAAAGUCUGAUGGAGCAACGCCGCGUGAGUGAAGAAGGGUUUCGGCUCGUAAAACUCUGUUGUUAAAGAAGAACAUAUCUGAGAGUAACUGUUCAGGUAUUGACGGUAUUUAACCAGAAAGCCACGGCUAACUACGUGCCAGCAGCCGCGGUAAUACGUAGGUGGCAAGCGUUGUCCGGAUUUAUUGGGCGUAAAGCGAGCGCAGGCGGUUUUUUAAGUCUGAUGUGAAAGCCUUCGGCUCAACCGAAGAAGUGCAUCGGAAACUGGGAAACUUGAGUGCAGAAGAGGACAGUGGAACUCCAUGUGUAGCGGUGAAAUGCGUAGAUAUAUGGAAGAACACCAGUGGCGAAGGCGGCUGUCUGGUCUGUAACUGACGCUGAGGCUCGAAAGUAUGGGUAGCAAACAGGAUUAGAUACCCUGGUAGUCCAUACCGUAAACGAUGAAUGCUAAGUGUUGGAGGGUUUCCGCCCUUCAGUGCUGCAGCUAACGCAUUAAGCAUUCCGCCUGGGGAGUACGGCCGCAAGGCUGAAACUCAAAGGAAUUGACGGGGGCCCGCACAAGCGGUGGAGCAUGUGGUUUAAUUCGAAGCUACGCGAAGAACCUUACCAGGUCUUGACAUACUAUGCAAAUCUAAGAGAUUAGACGUUCCCUUCGGGGACAUGGAUACAGGUGGUGCAUGGUUGUCGUCAGCUCGUGUCGUGAGAUGUUGGGUUAAGUCCCGCAACGAGCGCAACCCUUAUUAUCAGUUGCCAGCAUUAAGUUGGGCACUCUGGUGAGACUGCCGGUGACAAACCGGAGGAAGGUGGGGAUGACGUCAAAUCAUCAUGCCCCUUAUGACCUGGGCUACACACGUGCUACAAUGGAUGGUACAACGAGUUGCGAACUCGCGAGAGUAAGCUAAUCUCUUAAAGCCAUUCUCAGUUCGGAUUGUAGGCUGCAACUCGCCUACAUGAAGUCGGAAUCGCUAGUAAUCGCGGAUCAGCAUGCCGCGGUGAAUACGUUCCCGGGCCUUGUACACACCGCCCGUCACACCAUGAGAGUUUGUAACACCCAAAGUCGGUGGGGUAACCUUUUAGGAACCAGCCGCCUAAGGUGGGACAGAUGAUUAGGGUGAAGUCGUAACAAGUAUGCCGUUGCCCCCC
rnacentral:rRNA from 2 species